GACGAACGCUGGCGGCGUGCUUAACACAUGCAAGCCGAACGGAAAGGCCCUGCUUUUGUGGGGUGCUCGAGUGGCGAACAGGUGAGUAACACGUGAGUAACCUGCCCUUGACUUUGGGAUAACUUCAGGAAACUGGGGCUAAUACCGGAUAGGAGCUCCUGCUGCAUGGUGGGGGUUGGAAAGUUUCGGCGGUUGGGGAUGGACUCGCGGCUUAUCAGCUUGUUGGUGGGGUAGUGGCUUACCAAGGCUUUGACGGGUAGCCGGCCUGAGAGGGUGACCGGCCACAUUGGGACUGAGAUACGGCCCAGACUCCUACGGGAGGCAGCAGUGGGGAAUAUUGCACAAUGGGCGGAAGCCUGAUGCAGCAACGCCGCGUGCGGGAUGACGGCCUUCGGGUUGUAAACCGCUUUCGCCUGUGACGAAGCGUGAGUGACGGUAAUGGGUAAAGAAGCACCGGCUAACUACGUGCCAGCAGCCGCGGUGAUACGUGGGGUGCGAGCGUUGUCCGGAUUUAUUGGGCGUAAAGGGCUCGUAGGUGGUUGAUCGCGUCGGAAGUGUAAUCUUGGGGCUUAACCCUGAGCGUGCUUUCGAUACGGGUUGACUUGAGGAAGGUAGGGGAGAAUGGAAUUCCUGGUGGAGCGGUGGAAUGCGCAGAUAUCAGGAGGAACACCAGUGGCGAAGGCGGUUCUCUGGGCCUUUCCUGACGCUGAGGAGCGAAAGCGUGGGGAGCGAACAGGCUUAGAUACCCUGGUAGUCCACGCUGUAAACGGUGGGUACUAGGUGUGGGGUCCAUUCCACGGGUUCCGUGCCGUAGCUAACGCUUUAAGUACCCCGCCUGGGGAGUACGGCCGCAAGGCUAAAACUCAAAGGAAUUGACGGGGCCCCGCACAAGCGGCGGAGCAUGCGGAUUAAUUCGAUGCAACGCGUAGAACCUUACCUGGGUUUGACAUGGAUCGGGAGCGCUCAGAGAUGGGUGUGCCUCUUUUGGGGUCGGUUCACAGGUGGUGCAUGGCUGUCGUCAGCUCGUGUCGUGAGAUGUUGGGUUAAGUCCCGCAACGAGCGCAACCCUUGUUCACUGUUGCCAGCACGUUAUGGUGGGGACUCAGUGGAGACCGCCGGGGUCAACUCGGAGGAAGGUGGGGAUGACGUCAAGUCAUCAUGCCCCUUAUGUCCAGGGCUUCACGCAUGCUACAAUGGCUGGUACAGAGAGUGGCGAGCCUGUGAGGGUGAGCGAAUCUCGGAAAGCCGGUCUCAGUUCGGAUUGGGGUCUGCAACUCGACCUCAUGAAGUCGGAGUCGCUAGUAAUCGCAGAUCAGCAACGCUGCGGUGAAUACGUUCCCGGG
rnacentral:rRNA from 1 species